rnacentral:rRNA from 1 species
AUUGAACGCUGGCGGCAGGCCUAACACAUGCAAGUCGAACGAGUGGCGGACGGGUGAGUAAUGUCUGGGAAACUGCCUGAUGGAGGGGGAUAACUACUGGAAACGGUAGCUAAUACCGCAUACAAUCGGAUGGGCCCAGAUGGGAUUAGCUAGUAGGUGGGGUAAAGGGUCACCUAGGCGACGAUCCCUAGCUGGUCUGAGAGGAUGACCAGCCACACUGGAACUGAGACACGGCCAGUCAUCCUACGGGAGGCAGCAGUGGGGAAUAUUGCACAAUGGGCGCAAGCCUGAUGCAGCGAUGCCGCGAGUGUGAAGAAGGCCUUCGGGUUGUAAAGUACUUUCAGCGGGGAGGCGUUACCCGCAGAAGAAGCACCGGCUAACUCCGUGCCAGCCGCGGCGGUAAUAC